AAGUCGUAACAAGGUUUCCGUAGGUGAACCUGCGGAAGGAUCAUUAAUGAAGUUUUUUGGGGUUUUCCCUGAAAAAUAAUUCACCUUUUGUGCACUGUUAUUUAGAUAUACUUUGGUUAGAGCUUUGGUUCCAAAAAAACAAUUGGAAUCAACUUCUUGCCGACUCUAUCCUUUCUGAGGACAGUUGGCUAUGAAGCGGCCUACCAAGGUUUUUUAUCAAACACAUUUAAUAUUUCUGACCUAAAAACAAAUAAUUAAAUCAUAACUUUCAACAACGGAUCUCUUGGCUCUC
rnacentral:misc_RNA from 1 species